UACGAAGGGGGCUAGCGUUGCUCGGAAUCACUGGGCGUAAAGGGUGCGUAGGCGGCGCGGUAAGUCGGGUGUGAAAUCUCGGAGCUUAACUCCGAAACUGCAUUCGAUACUGCCGUGCUUGAGGACUGGAGAGGAGACUGGAAUUUACGGUGUAGCGGUGAAAUGCGUAGAUAUCGUAAGGAAGACCAGUGGCGAAGGCGGGUCUCUGGACAGUUCCUGACGCUGAGGUGCGAAAGCUAGGGGAGCGAACAGG
rnacentral:rRNA from 1 species